CCUACGGGUGGCUGCAGUGAGGAAUAUUGGUCAAUGGGCGCGAGCCUGAACCAGCCAAGCAGCGUGAAGGAUGACUGCUCUAUGGGUUGUAAACUUCUUUUAUAAAGGAAUAAAGUGAGGCACGCGUGCCUUUCUGUAUGUACUUUAUGAAUAAGGAUCGGCUAACUCCGUGCCAGCAGCCGCGGUAAUACGGAGGAUCCGAGCGUUAUCCGGAUUUAUUGGGUUUAAAGGGAGCGUAGAUGGUUUGUUAAGUCAGUGGUGAAAGUCCGCGGCUCAACCGUUAAAUUGCAAUUGAUACUGGCAGCCUAGAGUACAGUUGAGGUAGGCGGAAUUCGUGGUGUAGCGGUGAAAUGCUUAGAGAUCACGAAGAACACCGAUUGCGAAGGCAGCUUACUAAGCUGCCACUGACGUUGAGGCUCGAAAGUGUGGGGAGCAAACAGGAUUAGAUACCCGUGUAGUC
rnacentral:rRNA from 1 species